rnacentral:rRNA from 1 species
GAACGCGAUAGCGUGCCAACACCAAAGGAAGUACUGGGUGUUGAACGUUACUUAGUGGCGAACGGGUGAGUAACGCGUAGACAACCUGCCCUCCAGAUGGGGACAACACUGCGAAAGUGGUGCUAAUACCGAAUGUGUAACCGAGAUUGCAUAAUCUUGGUUAGAAAGGUGGCCUCUAUUUAUAAGCUACCGCUGGAAGAUGGGUCUGCGUCUGAUUAGCUAGUUGGUGAGGUAACGGCUCACCAAGGCGACGAUCAGUAGCCGGUCUGAGAGGAUGAACGGCCACACUGGGACUGAGACACGGCCCAGACUCCUACGGGAGGCAGCAGUGGGGAAUCUUCCGCAAUGGACGAAAGUCUGACGGAGCAACGCCGCGUGAGUGAAGAAAGGUUUUCGGAUCGUAAAGCUCUGUCUUUUGGGACGAAUGUGCUUCUUGUGAAUAAUGAGAGGUAAUGACGGUACCGAAGAAGGAAGCCACGGCUAACUACGUGCCAGCAGCCGC